CUACGUAGGUGGCAAGCGUUGUCCGGAAUUAUUGGGCGUAAAGCGCAUGUAGGCGGUUUGGUAAGUCGGUAGUGAAAAUGCGGUGCUUAACGCCGUAUGGCGAUUGAAACUGCUGAACUUGAGUGCAGGAGAGGAAAGGGGAACUCCCAGUGGAGCGGUGAAAUGGGUAGAUAUUGGGAAGAAACCGGGUGGCGAAGGCGUCUUUCUGGACUGUGUAUGACGCUCAGAUGCGAAAGCCAGGGUAGCGAGGGGGAUUAGAUCCCCCGUUAGUCCUGGCCGAAAACGAUGGUUACUAGGUGUGGGAGGUAUCGACUCCUUCCGUGCCGGAGUUAACGCAAUAAGUACCCCGCCUGGGGAGUACGGCCGCAAGGCUUAAACUCAAAGGAAUUGACGGGG
rnacentral:rRNA from 1 species